CACUAGUCAGGCAUGACCUUCCCUAGGUGAAGCCAUGCUGGAUGUUUCACAUCACCUACUCGUUUCCUCAUGUGCCUUAACAUGUCUUUCAGGAGGAUCUGUUCCACAAUCUUCUGAGGCACAAAGUUUGUGCCCAAGGAAUUUGGCAUGGCUCCACCAGGAAGGUAACAAGGCUGACAGCCCAACUGAAGUGCCUCUACACUGGUGCAGGCAGCAUGAGAAAUAAGAAGGAGAACUUGGAAGCUACAGCACAAUUAGAAUACUGUGACCUAAUUGCUAUCAUAACAAUGUGGUAAGACAAAUGGCGACACUGCAGUCAAGGGCUACGAGAUUUUUGGAAGAAGUGACUAGAGAAAGAGGUGGAGGAGUUCCCCUCUAUGUUAAGAAAUGGAGAUUGAAAAAAAACUGCCUCUAAAAAAACAGCCACAGUCACAUUGAGAGCUUAUGGAUAAAAACUGGGGUUCAACAAGCAGCCUAUCUCCUUCCUGUCUUAGCAGAGAGAAG